rnacentral:rRNA from 1 species
AAUGAACGCUGGCGGCAUGCCUUACACAUGCAAGUCGAACGGCAGCGCGGACUUCGGUCUGGCGGCGAGUGGCGUACGGGUGAGUAAUAUAUCGGAACGUACCCAAGAGUGGGGGAUAACGUAGCGAAAGUUACGCUAAUACCGCAUACGAUCUAUGGAUGAAAGCGGGGGAUCGCAAGACCUCGUGCUCCUGGAGCGGCCGAUAUCUGAUUAGCUAGUUGGUGGGGUAAAGGCCCACCAAGGCAUCGAUCAGUAGCUGGUCUGAGAGGACGACCAGCCACACUGGAACUGAGACACGGUCCAGACUCCUACGGGAGGCAGCAGUGGGGAAUUUUGGACAAUGGGGGCAACCCUGAUCCAGCAAUGCCGCGUGAGUGAAGAAGGCCUUCGGGUUGUAAAGCUCUUUUGUCAGGGAAGAAAAGGUUCGGGCUAAUAUCCCGGGCUCAUGACGGUACCUGAAGAAUAAGCACCGGCUAACUACGUGCCAGCCGCCGCCGUAAGAC